rnacentral:lncRNA from 1 species
AUUUCUUUCAUUUGUAGGGAGGUUAGCAAUUCCCUGACCAGAGAGCAAAUAACACUAAAACUGUGAAUACCUCAAAUUUCUCUGCCUUCCACAGACAAGAUGUUUUGAAACAAUGUGCCUUCAAGAACUUAGAAUCUCACUGGGGAGACAAGAUGGACAGAUGACUACGGAAGUUUGAAUUGGAACGACAAUUUGAGAAAGCUUCAAAGAAGAGGCCAUAUGAGAUGGCCUUGAAUCACAAGUUGGAAUUUGAAUAAUGGAAACUGUAAGGAAAGAAGGGACCUGGCACUGCAGGUGGCUACCUCUGUGCCCCUCACUAACCAGACUUCCUUGCCAAUGGGAAGCACAGGCUGGAGACCAGAGAGUGGAAGGCCCAGACAAAGACACUCAGUGCUCCAGUUCUGCGACAGGGACCCUCCAGCUGCAGUGCAUGGGGAGCUGCGUGAGUCAGCCUGGCAUGGACUGUCUUAUGUCGUAAUUACAGAAAAGGAAACAAGAUUGCUUCAGAUUUAUAAAAACUGGAAGGUUCUAUUGCUGCACGUGAACAGAUUCUGUUCCAGGAUCCCGUGCCUCCAGUAACCCAUGCUUUCAUUUUAACAUGGAACAAAAGCGAACUUUAUAAGCUUGCCUGUCUAAAGGGAAUAUGCCCCUGCUCUUUAGCCUUUUGCUUCAGGGAGUUAGAGGAAUGAGUGCGAAGUGAGGGUGUGAAAAAGAGGCUAGACACAGCAGUGCUGCCUGCUGAAUUAUUUUCCAUCUGGAGGGAAGGCUGUCGCUUUCGGUAUAUUCCUCAAAGGAAGAAAGAAUGGUAGUGAACUCAAUCAAGUUUCGAUAUUACCUUGUAGUAGAUUUAAUAAGAAGGAAAAUGACUUGAGUCACAGUGCUGAGGGCUUGGGCAAGGCCCAGUGUAUUGGGAUGAUCUGAUGCACUCUUUCCUGGAUUUAUCUGAAUCUUUGCAGAAAGCAGAGAAGGGGUUGGAGCACCAUGUUGGUCCUGACAGUAGUAGAAAGAGGGAGGUGUAUGAAAAAUGCGGCACGCAUGCGUAUGGUGGAGACGGGCAUAGCCACACGUAUUGGAGACAGUUUAGCAGACUAGUUAGGAGUAUAGGUGCUGACAAUAAACUGCUUGGGCUCAAGAGUUUUCUCUUGCUAGCUGUAGGCCUUGGGCAAAUUACUCAGCCUCUUGAAGUUUCUGUUAACCUCUCUGAGUUUACUGUUCCUCAUCUGUAAGGUUGGGAUAAUAGUGGUACAAAUCUCAUAAGGGUUUUUGAGUAUUAACUUGAGAUGAUUCAUGUAAAGCACUCAGCCUAUAAUAAGGGAAUCAUUAUGAUGAGUAAAUAUAUCCACUGCAGAUGACAUUGCUAUUAGAUGGAGGUAAGGACCUCAACGUGAUGAAUGGAUUUGGUGAGCAGAGCAGUGGAGGUAAUUAUCUUCCUUUACUUCUUUUUCUGUUACUGAUACUACCAUUAAUAAUAUAGUUUCCAAUAAUUUUGAACUAUUAAAUGUCAGACAGAGUUCUGGAAUUUUUGUGUGUGUCUGUGUGAGGAAGAUUGGCCCUGAGCUAACAUCUGUGCCAGUCUCCCCUACCUUAUAUGUGAGAUGCUGCCAAAAAAGCAUGCCUUGAUAAGUGGUGGCUAUGUCCAUGCCCAGGAUCUGAAACUGGCGAAUCCCAGGCCACUGAAGCGGAGCACGCGAACUUAACUGCUAUGCCACUAGGCCAGCCCCCUCAAGGAUACUUAUUUUAUACUUCAAGUGGUAAUCUAAUAUUAUUUUAUUCAUUUUGUUGCUCAAAUUCUUCCAGUUUUGGCCACUAGGAGUUCUUUCAGUUGGCUCAUAUGUUCCUUUGACACCCCCCCAUAUUUUUCUGUUUUUUAGCCAUCUUUUAUUUUCUGGCAUUCCAAGGGAUUCCCAGCUCAUCUUGUAUAUUUCCUGCCUCUGUCCUAGAAUCAACCAUUUCUCUAAGGGGCCUGGUUUCUCUUACUGGAGAGUGCAAUUAGAAACCAAGAUGUGAGUACUAUGUGUGCUCAUCGCUAUUGGGAUGUUAUUGCUUUUAGGCCCUCUCAGCUGCAGAGCAAGGAAAUAUGUGCAUGUAUACUAACCUUCAUAUAUAUAAAUAUCCAUAAAUUUUUCUUCCUAUGUGUAUCCGUCUGUAUCUAUAUCAAGGUAAACAUGAGUUCAUAUCAAUGUCUCCAACUCUCAUCCAUUACUAAUGGAUCAUUUCCUUGCUUAUCUGUAAUCACCUGCUCAAACAGUGAGAAACCUAGCUUCCAUCUUUGGC